rnacentral:lncRNA from 1 species
UGAAGGCAACAGUAGUAUACCGCUGUUAGAAAGUCAUCAAUCAAUUGAGAGAAAAUAAUCCGGAUUACAAACUAAAAAGUAAAAUCACAAAAAUACUGAACUCCGAGGAAAACACAUAACGGAAAGUUCCUAAUCAAAUGGCAAAAUCAAAAGCUCAGACCGAGUGAAACACAUCAAAUAUAAGAGGAAAACAACGAACAACGAAACAACAGAAAAACUGAAGUGCAACAAAAAACAAACGACAAUGCAACACACACAG